UUAUUUAACCCAUUCAUGGCCACGAACCGCCGAGCGUACACAAUACGCCAGGCCACCAUACAAAUCGUUUUUAGCUAAAACGCAUGACUCAGCUUAUGGGUCUCGAGCCUGGCGCGAACGGUAAAUAAAUCGCCGCUUAUGAAGCCGGCCAGUUGGACAGCAUUAUGCAACAUUUUUACUAACCACCGAUUUUCUGUGCCUAUCAAAAAAGAAACUAAUUAUUGCAUCGGUCAGGUUAGGCGGGUUCAAAUUCCGGUAAUCCAUAGCCAUGGUCACAAAAUACGAAAUCACUAAACAGCACAGGAGGAGUAUAAAGUCGCCAACGAAUAAAUCGUGACUAAAUAAUAUUUUCCAUGUUACUCCAAAAUACAUCUCUAAUAGGGGGGAUGGGAUGAAUCACAUCUUGAACUCUUGUGACAAAUACCACAUGAAAGAUAAUACCGCCGCCGCCGUUCGGAUGCAUUCCUUGUUUAUUGUCCAAGUGUGUCCGAUAAGCUUACACCUGGUCGGUCAUUAUCUUUGUUUUGGUAAACGCCAUUAUAUUAGUAACAAUAGAGAACUUAAAAUGUAUUAUAGUACUUACUUUCUAAUCUGCCGUAGAAACCACUAUGUUUGAAAAAACUUGUAAAUAUUUGUCACAAACUAUUUGUUAUACAAUACAUAUUAGUUAGUGGUGACUGUUUCAACCGCCUUGUUCUAUAUUGAAACGAAAAAAAAUUAACUUUAACAUCAUUGUUAGUAGGUAAUUGCCUAAGAUACAAUACAACGAUCACCAAAUAUUAUGACAUAAAAGUACAGUGGGAAAAAAUCCUCGUUGCCUUACCCCUCAUACAAAACAAAAUAUUAUUAUACUACGGCUUGGUUCCUACAAAUUGUUGCUUACCAUCAUCCAAACAGUAAUCAGUUGUAAAAUGGUACAAUAUCAAACAGCUUCAACAUGAAAUAAGCUUUAAAACCAGCCAAUAAAGUUUAUUUUAGCCUGCUACGGAAACAUUAGCAGUUUUUACAAGUAGCGCCAGGCCACGGUGACCCAUACCUUGAGCCCUGUCAAUAACUUCUGAAAUAUAUAUAUUUUUUGUAUUUUUUCAAUAUAGAUUUUUCUGUUUGCUUGCAUCGCAUUAUGUAUCUAGAAUUUCAGUAUAUUUACUAUAUUGCACUGAUAGUAAACCAAACUUGAAUAUUCGAGACCCUGUUUUCAUUAAAAAAAACGUGUUUAUAAUUUUUAUCCUAAUAUGCCUUAUAGAAAUGAUUGUUAGCUUAUAUGUUACUUACGUUAUUACAUCAAAUUACGUUUCGUUUAAGUUUAAAUCAGAAUUUAUUCAGGACUCACAUGUGAGUCACUGGCCCUGCGGAACUGUUUGAGCAUGACCCAUACGCUGAGUCGCUGGCCCUGAAUGGGUUAAGCUAAAAAAAUA